AGAGAAUCCUCAAGAUGAAGAUUUGCCAGAGAACUCCAGUAGCCUGAGAAUAUGGUGCAAAGGCAGCUUAAAGCCAUUAUUAACUUCCCUUCUUAUUCUGCUCUUGGUCGGUGUACUGAGUCCAGGAAAGGGGAAAAGGAGAAUUAGGAAAUCUCUGCCUCCAUAAGCGUGAGCUGAUAAUGAUUUAUCCACAAGGUUAAAUAGCACAGAAAAUAGCGAUCAAUAUUGGAGGGUUGUACCUUAGAAGUGCAAAGGCCAUUCAUGCUUUCUGGCCUGCCAUGGAGGGGGUUACAGCACCAUCAAUAAUUGAUGCAUAAACUGUGCCUACUUAUUCCCAAAUGCUGCAGUAAGUACAUACAUGCUGAGGCUCAACUCCGGAUAGCCAAAAUCCUUUCUUUAGCUUGCAGCUGUUUCAUUUUGAAAUUGAGCUGAUUUUUAUUUUUAAUUCUGAUUGUCUGCCCCUAUAUUCCUCAAAUGUAUUAGCCUUUCUUAAGAAAUGUAUGUCUGCAGUAAGGACAAUUACUUUAUUUCAGGAUGCAAAACCACUGCAGGUUACCUGUGCCACCCAACUGUGGAAGGCAGAAAAGACCAGAGCAUCUCAAAGCAGUACUUCCAGCCAAAGCAAUUCUUCUAACAACACACCAUUAGAGACUAGAUUGCUACUUCUUGUGCCAGUUACCAAGCAUUUCAUCAUCAUGUAUCUGGACCCACACCAUUCUGACCUUCUGCAUGACGUUGUCUUCAGGACUAAUUGGGCCUUCAUCAAAACAACAUCUCUGCAUUGUGAUGAUCUUCUGGCAAAACAAGCCAUUAAUCACACCUGGGACCAGAGUUGAAUUCUGCAAACUGCCUUCUCCCUGUCCUUCUCCAACUCUGCAGCAGGCAGAACUUGUGUCAAGAUUUGGUGUAGUAUAUUUAGGAAAUGAAAGUAACACAAAGACAAAAUUAAAAUAUUUGUGAUCCAUUAUGCAGAAAGAGCAUAUUCUACAUGAAAAUAUUAUUUACAUGAAUUUUCUAUUCUAAAACUUGAUUUUGUAUUCAAGGUUUAAGGUCUCCGUGGAUGUGGAAAAAACACUUUGAGACUCUGAGGCUUUGAAAUGCUGAAUUGCCUUGUAUAAGAUAAAAUCGAUAUUUUGGAAGAAAAAAAAAAAAAGUAAAGUGGAAAUUAAUGUUCUUGUAAUAGGUGAGCAGCUUUUACACAAUUAUUUCAUGGUGAUAGACUUGGUUUUGAUGUAGCUUAAUUAGCAGAAUAUAAAUUAUAUAUGUUUUUUUAAAGAUGUGCAUAUGUAUAUUACAAGAUUUUUUUUUAUUUCAUUGUGGAGCAAACCAUUUGAUGUGGCUCUGCAAAAAGCUCUAAUACACAUCAAAAAGCAAUCAACAAACUCUUUGAGUACAUCAAGCAGGAUAAUUUAGAUGGUUUUUAAUCAUGAUUAUGAAAAUAUAAUUAGGUGGUUUCAUGUUGGUUGGUGAGUGCGUAGGGAAAAGCGAUUCUCCAAACAGAAAAAUAUGGAUAACAUUACCCAGGAGCCAGGAAACAACCACACACACAUGCAUACACAAACCAACCAACCAAACAAACAAAAAAACUGCUGGCCUGCUUCUCUAGUAGAUCAGCAGGUAACAUGUUUAAAUAGAAUGCUAUCUCCUAUAGGAUGCUGGGAAUAUUCUUAUUUAACACCCAGACUACACAGGAGUAGCUUUGGAAAAAUGCCCCUUUUUAAUGUGCUAGAAAUCAUUAGUCUGUGAUUUAACAAAAUAAAAUCCUCUUUUCAGAAUGUAGGCA
ensembl:lncRNA